AGUCAUUGACAAGGACAUCGUCAUGGACCGGUGGUGAAGAGCCUCGAGAGUGAAGGUAAAUUUUUUGAAAAGAGAAGUCCACUAUUUCAGCUUCAUAAUUCAGCCUGGAAACUGAACUGCACCAUAAAACUUGUGCUUGAAAAGUUUCAUGGGACCCAUAUUAAGUUUCCAAAUUUGAUCUGCUGGACACAAGUAGCUUUGAAGAAGAAGGAUCCCAGCUUAAAGAAAAACAUGUGUCACAUCCAUAAAUGUUUGACAUCAUCUUCAAGCACACCUGGAUUCCUUGUUGCAAUGUCUUCAAAACAAAUGUAAAAAUGAAAGGAUUUCAGUGGUGAGCUCAUAAUGAUGGGAUCAAAAGGAAGUGAACUGGACUCUGAGGGACUUAACAGAAGAUUGUGAUGGACAUGGAAUGUGACACCGUUUACGAAUAAGUCAAGAACCAAAUGAAACGCACUAUUUUCCAGAGUACAGAUUAUGGAGGGGUCUGCAAAACUAAUAGAGCAGUUUCUUCUUAUUGGAAUGCCACAGCUUAAAUCCAAAGGUCCUAACAGCUCUCCUGAUUCCGUCAAGGCUUGAAGUGUCAGCAUUACGAUGACCAACUCUCACUCACUAUCCUUCUGCUCCCUCAUUUAUCAGAGGCACCACAGUAGACUGAAUUAGCAAUUACUCUUCACUUUAUAGCCGCAACCCAGCACUGGGAAACACCCAUACACUCUCUCAUACACCUGCACACAUUCACUCACUGUGGCCAAUUCACCAAUACCGUACGCAUGCCUUUGGACUGUGGGGGCAACUGGAGCACCCAGAGGAAACCCACACAAACACUGGGAGAACUUGCAAACUUCACACAGAAACACCA
ensembl:processed_transcript